AUUGAACGCUGGCGGUAUGCUUAACACAUGCAAGUCGAACGAUGAGAAAGAGCUUGCUCUUUCGAUUAGCGGCGGACGGGUGCGUAACGCGUAGGAAUCUACCUAUUAGUGGGGGACAACUUAGGGAAACUUAAGCUACUACCGCAUACGCCCUACGGGGGAAAGAAGGGGAUCGCAAGACCUUUUGCUAAGAGAUCAGUCUAUGUCCUAUCAGCUAGUUGGUGAGGUAAUGGCUCACCAAGGCAAUGACGGGUAUCUGGUUUGAGAGGAUGAUCAGACACACUGGAACUGAGACACGGUCCAGACUCCUACGGGAGGCAGCAGUGAGGAAUAUUGCACAAUGGAGGAGACUCUGAUGCAGCAACGCCGCGUGGAGGAUGACGCAUUUCGGUGUGUAAACUCCUUUUAAGAGGGAAGAUAAUGACGGUACCUCUUGAAUAAGCACCGGCUAACUCCGUGCCAGCCGCCGCAGUAACAC
rnacentral:rRNA from 1 species